GUGAAUAGUAAUAGGGCCCCUGGUCCUGACAACAUUCCACCGGAGUUUUAUCAACACUGUUGGGAGAUUGUGAAGGGGGCUAUUAUGAGACUUUUUGAAGCCUUGUAUGAGGGUACUCUCGAUGUUCAAAGGUUAAACUAUGGGAUCAUUACUUUGAUUCCUAAGAUCAAUGGUGCGAACAAAAUCCAACAGUUUAGACCUAUUUGCUUGCUUAGGUGCCCAUAUAAGUUGAUCACAAAGGUGUUAGACUACAGAGCAUCCCUUUAUGCUGACAUCCUGUUUAGCAAACACCAAAAUGCCUUUAUUAAACACACGAGUAUUAUGGAUGGGGUUCUUACGUUGCAUGAAAUUUUGCACCAUGCGCAUGUUAAGAAGAGAGUUGGCAUCAUUAUCAAGCUUGAUUUGAAAAAGCUUACGAUAAGGUAA
rnacentral:rRNA from 1 species